AUUGUCAAAGUGUACCAUAAAUAGAUCCUCGUGCACUCAAAUGUGUUUCCCUUGGUUACUUACGAGUGUCAAAGGGUUAUUGUUGCUAUUCUCCUACCUUAGGAAGAAUGCUCACCUCCCAUCAUGUCACCUUCAUAGAGUCUCGGUCUUGCUUUUCUACAAUCGGCUCUAGUUCAUUUGAUCCAGUCUCGCAAUUGUCCGAGUCCACAUCUUCCGAACUUGUUCUUGUCUAUUCUCCGCCAACGGUCUC